rnacentral:rRNA from 1 species
GGGCAUGCCUUACACAUGCAAGUCGAACGGCAGCACGGGGCAACCUGGUGGCGAGGGGCGAACGGGUGAGUAAAGCAUCGGAACGUGCCCUGGAGUGGGGGAUAACGUAGCGAAAGUUACGCUAAUACCGCAUAUUCUGUGAGCAGGAAAGCAGGGGGAUCGCAAGACCUUGCGCUCUGGGGAGCGGCCGAUGUCGGAUUAGCUAGUUGGUGGGGUAAAGGCCUACCAAGGCGACGAUCCGUAGCGGGUCUGAGAGGAUGAUCCGCCACACUGGGACUGAGACACGGCCCAGACUCCUACGGGAGGCAGCAGUGGGGAAUUUGGACAAUGGGCGCAAGCCUGAUCCAGCCAUGCCGCGUGAGUGAAGAAGGCCUUCGGGUUGUAAAGCUCUUUCGGCCGGGAAGAAAUCGCAUGGGUCAAUACCCUGUGUGGAUGACGGUACCGGAAUAAGAAGCACCGGCUAACUACGUGCCAGCAGCCGCGGUAAUACGUAGGGUGCGAGCGUUAAUCGGAAUUACUGGGCG